GAUGAACGCUGGCGGCGUGCUUAACACAUGCAAGUCGAACGAUGAAGCCCAGCUUGCUGGGUGGAUUAGUGGCGAACGGGUGAGUAACACGUGAGUAACCUGCCCUUAACUCUGGGAUAAGCCUGGGAAACUGGGUCUAAUACCGGAUAGGAGCGUCCACCGCAUGGUGGGUGUUGGAAAGAUUUAUCGGUUUUGGAUGGACUCGCGGCCUAUCAGCUUGUUGGUGAGGUAAUGGCUCACCAAGGCGACGACGGGUAGCCGGCCUGAGAGGGUGACCGGCCACACUGGGACUGAGACACGGCCCAGACUCCUACGGGAGGCAGCAGUGGGGAAUAUUGCACAAUGGGCGGAAGCCUGAUGCAGCGACGCCGCGUGAGGGAUGACGGCCUUCGGGUUGUAAACCUCUUUCGGUAGGGAAGAAGCGAAAGUGACGGUACCGGCAGAAGAAGCACCGGCUAACUACGUG
rnacentral:rRNA from 1 species